CCUACGGGUGGCAGCAGUGAGGACUAUUGGUCAAUGGACGGAAGUCUGAACCAGCCAUGCCGCGUGCAGGAAGACGGCUCUAUGAGUUGUAAACUGCUUUUGUCCAAGGGUAAACCUGAAUACGUGUAUUCAGCUGAAAGUACUGUACGAAUAAGGAUCGGCUAACUCCGUGCCAGCAGCCGCGGUAAUACGGAGGUUCCAAGUGUUAUCCGGAUUUAUUGGGUUUAAAGGGUGCGUAGGCGGAUGGAUAAGUUAGAGGGGAAAUGUCCGAGCUUAACUCGGGAACUGCCUCUGAUACUGUUGAGCUAGAGAGUAGAUGCGGUAGGCGGAAUGUAUGGGGUAGCGGUGAAAUGCUUAGAGAUCAUACAGAACACCGAUUGCGAAGGCAGCUUACCAAUCUAUAUCUGACGUUGAGGCACGAAAGCGUGGGGAGCAAACAGGAUUAGAUACCCCUGUAGUC
rnacentral:rRNA from 1 species